UACGUAGGUGGCAAGCGUUGUCCGGAUUUACUGGGCGAAAGAGCGCGCAGGCGGUCGUUCAAGUCGAGUGUGAAAGCCCCGGCUCAACUGGGGAGGGUCACUCGAUACUGAUCGACUCGAAGGCAGAAGAGGGAAGCGGAAUUCCCGGUGUAGUGGUGAAAUGCGUAGAUAUCGGGAGGAACACCAGUGGCGAAGGCGGCUUCUGGUCUG
rnacentral:rRNA from 1 species